rnacentral:rRNA from 1 species
UACGUAGGGGGCAAGCGUUAUCCGGAUUUACUGGGUGUAAAGGGAGCGUAGACGGCGAUGCAAGCCAGAUGUGAAAGCCCGGGGCUUAACCCCGGGACUGCAUUUGGAACUGUAUAGCUAGAGUGUCGGAGAGGCAGGCGGAAUUCCUAGUGUAGCGGUGAAAUGCGUAGAUAUUAGGAGGAACACCAGUGGCGAAGGCGGCCUGCUGGACGAUGACUGACGUUGAGGCUCGAAAGCGUGGGGAGCAAACAGG